AGCAGAUACUACAGAAGCACUUAUUACAAACAAGAUGGCAGAAGAGCAAAGAAAGAAAACCUGUGUGAUGUAAUGUGUGCCAUAAGUAUCGAUGAAAUUGCGAUAUGGUAACCCAGAAGAAUUUGGAGGAAGAGACUUCACAGCCGUUUUAAAUUCGUGAUGCAAAGGAUAAAUCCUUUUUUGAGACAUUGUUUUGCCAACUUAUCUUCUACCGGAGCUUUGGACGUUUUGAUGCGCGCACUGCACGUUGCACGGCAGCUUAUGUUACU